UACGAAGGGGACUAGCGUUGUUCGGAAUCACUGGGCGUAAAGCGCACGUAGGCGGAUGUGUCAGUCAGGGGUGAAAUCCCGGUGCUCAACCUCGGAACUGCCUUUGAUACAGCACGUCUCGAGUCCAGAAGAGGUGGGUGGAAUUCCUAGUGUAGAGGUGAAAUUCGUAGAUAUUAGGAAGAACACCGGUGGCGAAGGCGGCCCACUGGUCCGGUACUGACGCUGAGGUGCGAAAGCGUGGGGAGCAAACAGG
rnacentral:rRNA from 1 species